rnacentral:rRNA from 1 species
GACGAACGCUGGCGGCGCGCCUAACACAUGCAAGUCGAACGAGCGAGUGGGAGCUUGCUUUCUCGCGCGAGUGGCGAACGGGUGAGUAACGCGUGAGGAACCUGCCUCAAAGAGGGGGACAACAGGGGGAAACUACUGCUAAUACCGCAUAAGCCCACGGACCCGCAUGUCACGGAGGGAAAAGGGGCGAUCCGGGUUGAAAUUGCCCCGCGUCCGAUUAGCUCGUUGGUGUGGUAAUUGCCCACCGAGGCGACGCUCGGUAGCCGGGCGUGGGAGAGGAACCGCAACAUUGGGACUGAGACACGGCCCAGAUCUCCACGGAUGGCAGCAGGUGGGAAUAUUGAACGAUGGGGGAAUCCCGAAUGCAGCCGCGCCGCGAGGAGGAAGAAUGUCUGCGGAUUGUGAACUCCUGUGGUAGGUGAAGAUAAUGACGGUACCCAACAAGGAAGGGACGGCUAACUACGUG